GGCGGGGCGAGGAGGGGGCGUGGCCCCGAGGCGGAUGAGACACGAGGAGCGAUCCGAUUGGCCGGGGCUGUCCGCUCUACGAAACCCCGUUUACAGAUGGCCACCGUUGCCAUGGCGACUGCUCCCCGACCGCCGUCACGGCAGCAGCGCCAGCAGCAGCAG